UGCGUAGGCGGUCGGGUAAGUUUGAUGUGAAAUCUCUGGGCUUAACCCAGAAAUGGCAUUGAAUACUAUUCGGCUAGAGAGUCGGAGGGGGGACUGGAAUACUUGGUGUAGCAGUGAAAUGCGUAGAUAUCAAGUGGAACACCAGUGGCGAAGGCGAGUCCCUGGACGAUUUCUGACGCUGAGGCACGAAAGCUGGGAGCAAACA
rnacentral:rRNA from 1 species